rnacentral:rRNA from 1 species
UAUCUCGUAGAGUCUGCAUAUCAAUAAGCGGAGGAAAAGAAACUAACAAGGAUUCCCUUAGUAACGGCGAGUGAAGCGGGAAGAGCUCAAAUUUGAAAUCUUCAAGGUUCUACCUUGACGAAUUGUAGUUUAAAGAAGUGUUUUCUGUUAGAUGAGUAGCAAAAGUUCCUUGGAAUGGGACAUCAUAGAGGGUGAGAAUCCCGUAUUUGGUUAUUCAUUCUAGCUUUGUGAUACACUUUCAAAGAGUCGGAUUGUUUGGGAAUGCAGUCCAAAAUGGGUGGUAAAUUUCAUCUAAAGCUAAAUAUUGGCGAGAGACCGAUAGCGAACAAGUACCGUGAGGGAAAGAUGAAAAGAACUUUGAAAAGAGAGUUAAACAGUACGUGAAAUUGUCAAAAGGGAAGCGUUUGACACCAGUGUUGUUUUUCCGAAAAUCAAUUACGAAUGGCUUGAUUUUGUGUUGUAUUGACCUUAUCAGCUUUCUUCACUUUUUUUCGAGUCUUUCUUAAUGCACUUUUGGGUUAACAAGUCAACAUCAAUUUCUUUUGUUGUAAAAGAGUAUUCGGAAGGUGGCUUUCUUUUCGGAGAAAGUGUUUAUAGCCCUAUACUUCUACAAUCGGAGAGAUUGAGGUCUGCAGCGUAGAUCCUUCGGGGUUAGAUACACUUUGUGCUAAGUUGUAGCUUUUCAUAGACAACUUGUUGACUAUGUUUAGUCAUGCGGCUUACUCGCUUGUGCUAUUUUACCUACGCUUAGGAUGUUGACGAGACUGUCGAUCUC